AGAUAGCUGGUUCUCCCCGAAAUAGCUUUAGGGCUAGCCUCAUGGCGAGAGUACAGGCGGUAGAGCACUGAACAGGGUAGGGGCCUAUCCGGCUACUGAACCUAAUCAAACUGCGAAUGGCUGUACUUAUCCAUGGGAGUCAGACUGUGAGUAAUAAGGCCCAUAGUCAAGAGGGAAACAGCCCAGACCAACAGCUAAGGUCCCCAAUGCCGUACUAAGUGGCGAAGGAUGUGGAAUUUCAAAAACAACCAGGAUGUUGGCUCAGAAGCAGCCACCAUUAAAAGAGUGCGUAAUAGCUCACUGGUCGAGAGACUCUGCGCCGAAGAUGUCCGGGGCUAAAGUACGGAACCGAAGCUUUGGCAAUUAACUUAUGUUAAUUGGGUAGGGGAGCGUUCCUGCAUGGGAGAAGCCUGACCGGAAGGACAGGUGGACAGGCAGGAAGAGAGAAUGCCGGUAUGAGUAGCGAAAAGAAGGGUGAGAAUCCCUUCCACCGAAAGCCUAAGGGUUCCUGGGCAACGAUCGUCGUCCCAGGGUAAGUCGGGACCUAAUCCGAGGCGGAGACGCGCAGGAGAUGGACAACAGGUUGAAAUUCCUGUACUGGCUGAUUUCGUUUGAGCAAUGGAGUGACACAGGAAGGAAGGCGCGCGUGCGAUUGGAAGAGCACGUCCAAGCAGGUAGGUGGGAAGAUAGGCAAAUCCGUCUUCCCAAAAGCUGAGAUGCGAUGGGGAGCGACUGGAAACAGUCGCGAAGGGGCUGGCACUAAACUGUCGAGAAAAGCUUCUAGUGAGAAAUCAGGCACCCGUACCGAAACCGACACAGGUAGGCAGGAUGAGAAUUCUAAGGUGCGCGGGAAAACCCUCGUUAAGGAACUCGGCAAAAUGUAUCCGUAACUUCGGGAAAAGGAUAACCCGGCGUACGUGAAGUGCAGAAGCGCACGGAGCGGAACCGGGUGGCAGAAGAGAGGCCCAAGCGACUGUUUACCACAAACACAGGCGUCUGCUAAAGCGAAAGCUGAUGUAUAGAUGCUGACACCUGCCCGGUGCUGGAAGGUUAAGAGGAAGUGUUAGCGCAAGCGAAGCAGUGAAUUGAAGCCCCAGUAAACGGCGGCCGUAACUAUAACGGUCCUAAGGUAGCGAAAUUCCUUGUCGGGUAAGUUCCGACCCGCACGAAAGGUGUAACGAUUUGGGCACUGUCUCAACGAGGGACCCGGUGAAAUUGAAGUACCUGUGAAGAUGCAGGUUACCCGCGACUGGACAGAAAGACCCCAUGGAGCUUUACUGUAACCUGAGAUUGGAUUCCGGUAAGAGAUGUACAGGAUAGUUGGGAGGCGGAGAAGCAAGUACGCCAGUAUUUGCGGAGCCGAUGGUGGGAUACCAACCUUGUUUUAUUGGAAUUCUAACGAGAAGUUUAACAGACUUGCGGACAGUCUCAGGCGGGCAGUUUGACUGGGGCGGUCGCCUCCGAAAGAGUA
rnacentral:rRNA from 1 species